GGCGGAGCCCUGAGGUGGUGUUCCCGCCCGGCAGGGCAGCGCCCUCCGCCCCUGAGGGACAGCGCGGCCGCCGAAGGGGCGAUCUGGCGCCGGGAGUCAAGUUGGGCGGUCCCCGCAGCGCUGGGGAGCAGUAGAGACUUUGGGUUUAUCUUCUCCUUUUUGAGCCCUGAGGAAACACUUGAAGAGGGGCAGAAAGGGCCGUGAGGAGAGCUCCGGGCCGAGGCAGGGCUUGCUGAGCACGCGGAGUGCGGGUACGUGUGGGCCUUGGCGCCCUCACAGGUGGGAGAGCGCAGCUCUGCUCCUUCUGACUGCAUUCAGGCUCUGCUCGUAUCUCCCUGUAUCAGGAGAUAGAGAAGUUAAUAUUUUUUUUCCCUUACUCAGACAAUGUAGUGGAAUGGUUUUUUGUCAGUUGUUCCACAUCUCUUCAUUUAAGGGAAUGUGUAGCAUGAGAAGCUCAGGAUGGAGCUUGUCCUGCGUUCUUGGAUUCCUGCUUAGUUAUGGCCAUUACUAUCUGUGUAGUAUCCCAAAUACUGUUCUUUCGCACCCUCUUAAAAAUGUGACACCUAGAGAAGUUUCAGCCUACACAUCUUGUAUUGAAGAGUCAGCGUGCUUCUUCCUCAGCCUCAGGAUGAGGUUCUGAACAUAAGAACAUGGUUACCCCGUGCACAGUGCUCGAGCACACUGUUUCCAAAUAGAGAUAGCAAAUCUGAGUUUGGAGUCACCUUCACUUCAAUAUUCUAGAGCUACAGAAUGAAGAAGAUCCUUAAAGAAACCACUGUUUGGAAUUUGACCACUUGUAUGUGCUCAUGUUCUGGUCCGUCUUGGAAAAAAAAUUGGAAGGUCCACAGUUUGUUCCAGACCAGAAUGCAGCUACAUGCUUGAAGUUCCGAAUUUUUCUCAAAUAGUUUUUUACUGUCCAGCCUCAACUGUACAAAUAAUAGUUUAAAUACAAUGGCUUUUAGUGCUUUUAGCCUUUAAAUACCAUUCAUCUUGGUUUCACUCUGCCUUUUCUGGGACAUAUGCAUAUCAUGUUUGUCCUACAUCUGUUACCCAGAUGAACAAUGCCAUGGGAUGUAUGACUCACCUAAUGGCUUGAAAUUCUGGCACCAUGUUAUUGGUUACAAUAGGUGGGGCUCUAUGCACUCAAAACCAAAAAAUGUGUGUUUGAACAAUAAAAUGUUUGGGGCUUGUUUGGCUGUGUUUAGGUUUGCACAUUGCGCACAUAUUGACCCCAAUUAAAUUACGAAGAAGAGAAUAUCCAUUAAAUAAGUUAUUAAAACUACUACAGAACUUGUCAAAUGAAUGACUGUACAAACAGUGGAGCUGUUUCUUAGGGAUUAGAGAAAAUCUGGACUGUUCCCAGACAAAAUCCAGUUGAGGUAAGAUAAGAUAAGAACUGUUCAUUGGAUCUUCAAAGCCUAAAGGAUUGUGGAAAAUAUUAAAUUGAAUAAGUUCUGUGAAUUGUUAAUUUUUCACUUCUGUGAAGCAGCUUAUAUCAAUGUAAAGUCAAGCAUGGGAGAAUUAUGUCUAUAUAAGACUGAAAACAGUGG
ensembl:lncRNA